rnacentral:rRNA from 1 species
AACGAACGCUGGCGGCAGGCCUAACACAUGCAAGUCGAACGUGAAGCCAUCCUUCGGGGUGGUGGAAAGUGGCGAACGGGUGAGUAACGCGUGGGAACCUGCCCUUCGGUACGGAAUAACCACUGGAAACGGUGGCUAAUACCGUAUGCGCCCGGCAACGGGGAAAGCUUUAUGCGCCGAAGGAGGGGCCCGCGUCCGAUUAGCUUGUUGGUGAGGUAACGGCUCACCAAGGCUCCGAUCGGUCGCUGGUCUGAGAGGAUGAUCAGCCACACUGGGACUGAGACACGGCCCAG